GACCCCCAGGUCAGGCGGGGGCUACCCCGCUGAGUUUAAGCAUAUCAAUAAGCGGAGGAAAUUC
rnacentral:rRNA from 1 species